rnacentral:rRNA from 1 species
CCCUGCCAUUUGUACACACCGCCCGUCGCUACUACUGAUGAAUUGUUUAGUGAGGUCUCUGGACGUGUACACCGUAAUACCCUCGUGGUAUUUGGUAUGUUGCACAGAAGCUGACCGAACUUGAUUAUUUAGAGGAAGUAAAAGUCGUAACAA